CUACGAAGGGGGCUAGCGUUGUUCGGAUUUACUGGGCGUAAAGCGCACGUAGGCGGAUUGAUUAGCUAGGGGUGAAAUCCCGAGGCUCAACCUCGGAACUGCCUCUAAAACUGUCAAUCUCGAGACCGGAAGAGGUGAGUGGAACUCCUAGUGUAGAGGUGGAAUUCGUAGAUAUUAGGAAGAACACCAGUGGCGAAGGCGGCUCACUGGUCCGGUACUGACGCUGAGGUGCGAAAGCGUGGGGAGCGAACAGGAUUAGAAACCCUAGUAGUCC
rnacentral:rRNA from 1 species